rnacentral:rRNA from 1 species
UACGUAGGGUGCGAGCGUUGUCCGGAAUUAUUGGGCGUAAAGGGCUCGUAGGCGGUCUGUUGCGUCGGGAGUGAAAACUCAGGGCUUAACCCUGAGCCUGCUUCCGAUACGGGCAGACUAGAGGUACGCAGGGGAGAACGGAAUUCCUGGUGUAGCGGUGAAAUGCGCAGAUAUCAGGAGGAACACCGGUGGCGAAGGCGGAUCUCUGGGCCAUUACUGACGCUGAGGAGCGAAAGCGUGGGGAGCGAACAGG